rnacentral:rRNA from 1 species
UUUGAUCCUGGCUCAGAUUGAACGCUGGCGGCAUGCUUUACACAUGCAAGUCGAACGGCAGCGCGGGGCAACCUGGCGGCGAGUGGCGAACGGGUGAGUAAUAUAUCGGAACGUACCCAAGAGUGGGGAUAACGUAGCGAAAGUUACGCUAAUACCGCAUACGAUCUAAGGAUGAAAGUGGGGGCUCGCAAGACCUCAUGCUCCUGGAGCGGCCGAUAUCUGAUUAGCUAGUUGGUGAGGUAAAGGCUCACCAAGGCGACGAUCAGUAGCUGGUCUGAGAGGACGACCAGCCACACUGGGACUGAGACACGGCCCAGACUCCUACGGGAGGCAGCAGUGGGGAAUUUUGGACAAUGGGCGCAAGCCUGAUCCGGCAAUGCCGCGUGAGUGAAGAAGGCCUUCGGGUUGUAAAGCUCUUUUGUCAGGGAAGAAACGGCUGGGGAUAAUACCUCCGGCUAAUGACGGUACCUGAAGAAUAAGCACCGGCUAACUACCGUG